rnacentral:lncRNA from 1 species
CUUUAUUAACCACGACAAUAUUUCGUCGUAAUACCGUGACUUGUCAAACGGUCAUAAAUUUCAACUUUGAUAUGAGGGGUCCUAAUUCCUCACAUCAACCCACAUUAUAAGAAAGGUAGGGGUAGAAGAAGGUUAUGAAGCCCGGCUAUAAAAUUAAAAUCAAAAGCAACAACUUUUAUAAAAGCUUACGUGCUAAUUUGCUGUGUAAAAGAAGUUUCCCUUGUAAUUUUCAUGUUUGCUUCCAUGUUGCGAAAUAACUCUCGCAAUUCUAUUAAUUGCAAUCCGUCACGCGAAAAAUUUCAUGAAAAAUAUAACAUAUGGUUAGUUAUAUUUACCAUAUAAUAUAUGUAAAUGUAAGCAGUAAAACUAAUUAAAGAAUUACCACAGUAAAUAAACUGUUUUUACUUUAAGAUAAAACUUUUUUACCCAAAGGGGCAAAUUUACCGUUUUUCCCCUCGUACAUUGGUAUGUAUUCUUCUGCCUUCGGAUUCGAGUAUGAUUCGGGUCCUGGGUUCCUUGAUGGGCAGCAAAAAUGGGUUGCCGACGCUCGGAGAUGAAGAAGAGAGCGUCCGAUUAGGCGGGACGGCGCGCGGGGCUAAGUUGCCGGAUUGGAUGGGCUGCAGAGGCGCGCCGGUUCGGAGUCGAUCGGAGCGGCAGGGCUUGCUUGACCGGGGCUAAGAAGCUAGGGUGCUCACAGCUCUGGCCUAGAUGGGGGUCGCGCGUGUCUGUGGGUAGCGGCGUCGCAAGGCUGGGCGCUAGGUUGCAAGAGCGGCGGCGACGGGCUGGGUUCAUGCCGGAGAUGGGGCUCGGCUCGGGGUCGAGCUCGGCUCAAGGCUGGGCAUGGUAGAGCGCGCCGGCAAGGUGGGCUGGGGGACGCCGGAGGUGAUGAUAGGUGCCCAGAUCAUAUUCCUGGUUUUGAGAAAACUGUUGUAGUGGAACUCAAGGGACGCCGGCGGCAGGAGAGAAAAUUUCGAAGGUUUUUUUUUUUUUUUUUNNNNN